CACGUAGGGGGCAAGCGUUGUCCGGAUUUAUUGGGCGUAAAGAGCUCGUAGGUGGUUCGGUAAGUCGGGUGUUAAACCCCCAGGCUCAACCUGGGGACGCCACUCGAUACUGCUGUGACUAGAGUCCGGUAGGGGAGCGUGGAAUUCCUGGUGUAGCGGUGAAAUGCGCAGAUAUCAGGAGGAACACCGGUGGCGAAGGCGGGUCUCUGGGCCGAUACUGACGCUGAGGAGCGAAAGCAUGGGGAGCGAACAGG
rnacentral:rRNA from 1 species